CGAAUUAAAGCUUAAUUAAGUAUUUCAUUUACAUUGAAAAGAUAUUGUGUAAUUUCAAUUAGUUCGA
rnacentral:tRNA from 1 species